rnacentral:misc_RNA from 1 species
GAAAAACUUAGCAUAAACGUGAUCAGCUAAAGCCGGCUAACAGAAUGAGGAUGCUACAAGGAAAUGAUUCAAAAACAAAAAACCAGCACAUGGAUCUUAAAACCAGAUACAAGCACAUGAUAAGCAUAAGCAAAUGAACAGGGCAGCAAGAAAUCACAAACAGAUGUAACAAAUAAAGAACCAACAUGAUUCAAUAGCAACAAAAAGAUAACUCAAAAGAUAGCAACCAUGUCUGAUUUGCUCACAAGACCUUGCUUAGCCAGACCAUCCGCAACAGCAUUCCCUUCACGAAGGAUAUAGGUAAAUUCAACAGGAGGAAGAAUUCUCAAGAAGUUUGAAAUUUCAUUGUUGACGGGAAAGUUUCCAAGGCGAAAAAGAGGGAUCUUGAGCCCACUGAACCGCAUUCUUCGAAUCAGAUUCUACAUAAAUGAUUGUGGAUUUAGCAGAUAGCAGAGGUAAAGUAACUGAAAUUUCAAGAGCUUUUCGAAUGGCAAGCAGUUGUGCCGAGCUUGAAUCCAUACAUCCAAUAGGGCAUGAAAAGAUACUGUGGAGAAAAACUUCCGAGUCCCGC